rnacentral:rRNA from 1 species
UUAAAGAAAGCGUAAUAGCUCACUGGUCGAGUCGGCCUGCGCGGAAGAUGUAACGGGGCUAAACCAUGCACCGAAGCUGCGGCAGCGACGCUGAUGCGUUGUUGGGUAGGGGAGCGUUCUGUAAGCCUGUGAAGGUGGCCUGUGAGGGUUGCUGGAGGUAUCAGAAGUGCGAAUGCUGACAUAAGUAACGAUAAAGCGGGUGAAAAGCCCGCUCGCCGGAAGACCAAGGGUUCCUGUCCAACGUUAAUCGGGGCAGGGUGAGUCGACCCCUAAGGCGAGGCCGAAAGGCGUAGUCGAUGGGAAACGGGUUAAUAUUCCCGUACUUGGUGUUACUGCGAAGGGGGGACGGAGAAGGCUAUGUUGGCCGGGCGACGGUUGUCCCGGUUUAAGCGUGUAGGUGUGUGUUCCAGGUAAAUCCGGUUCACUUUAACACUGAGGCGUGAUGACGAGGCACUACGGUGCUGAAGCAACAAAUGCCCUGCUUCCAGGAAAAGCCUCUAAGCAUCAGGUAACAUCAAAUCGUACCCCAAACCGACACAGGUGGUCAGGUAGAGAAUACCAAGGCGCUUGAGAGAACUCGGGUGAAGGAACUAGGCAAAAUGGUGCCGUAACUUCGGGAGAAGGCACGCUGACAC